UACGUAGGGGCGAGCGUUGUCCGGAAUCAUUGGGCGUAAAGCGCGUGUAGGCGGCCCGAUAAGUCCGCUGUGAAAGUCCAGGGCUCAACCCUGGGAUGCCGGUGGAUACUGUCGGGCUCGAGUCCGGAAGAGGCGAGUGGAAUUCCUGGUGUAGCGGUGAAAUGCGCAGAUAUCAGGAGGAACACCAAUGGCGAAGGCAGCUCGCUGGGACGUGACUGACGCUGAGACGCGAAAGCGUGGGGAGCAAACAGG
rnacentral:rRNA from 1 species